CUUCACUGUAUCAUUCACCUCAAUAAACACUGCAAUAACAUUUAAUGGGGUGAAGAAAUUAGGAACUAACAUAUCUCUGGAAGUGACAGAUCAUGUUUAAUGGACCUCUUUAUAUCCGGUUUAUUGUCAAAAUGUAGAGGCUUUAGCUGUUUGCAAUGAACAAAUCAAACAAAAGCAACUGAAAUAGCUCAACACAAUGAAUGCUUCAAGUGGUUUCCCC